rnacentral:snRNA from 1 species
GGAUGUGAGGGCGAUCUGGCUGCGACAUCUGUCACCCCAUUGGUCGCCAGGGUUGAUUCUGCUGAUCUGGCUGGCUAGGCGGGUUUCCCCUUCCUCCCUCACCACUACAUGUGUGUCCCUCCCGAAGUUGGGUGCUUGGUCGAGGGUAUACGAGUAGCUGUGCUCCCCUGCUGGAACCUCCAAACAAGCUCACAAAUUGUGCUGCUAAGAACACAGGUAUACACAAAUCUUUUUAGAUGGGUGUGUUGGGUUCCUUAGGAUAUAUCCCCAGGAGAGGAAUUGCAGGAUCAUUGG